ensembl:lncRNA
ACCACAGACUUCGAGAACUUGGGGAUUUACUAUGUGAACUUGAAGCUGCUAAGGAAGAUGGUUAUCUCCAAGGAUUAGCCUAUCUGGACACGGCAAGAGGCGUAAGUCCCAUUGUUGAAAAAUUGCCCUUCCAUUUACAGGAUAAAUGGAUGACAGUAGGAUCAAAAUAUAAGGAAGAUCACAGGGUACAUUUCCCACCCUUUUCAGUCUUCUCUGAAUUCAUAAGGAGACAAGCCAGGGCAAGAAACGAUCCAAGUUUUUAUGUGACCAAUACAGUUGCACCAGCUCUGAGAAAGGAGAGAAUGGGGAAUCUCAAUUACAAGAAUCCUGUUUCUGUUCACAAGACAAGUGUGAGCAACAAGGAAACGACUACAGAUAGAGAGGGGAACCAAACAGAAGACGUGAACAUGCUAUGUCCCAUACAUAAAAAACCACACGCACUUAAGAAGUGCAAGAGCUUUCGAGCUAUGCUCUUGGAUGACAGGAAGAAAUUCCUAAGGGAUAAGGGAGUGUGUUUUCGCUGCUGUGCUUCAGUCUCCCAUCAGGCCAAGGACUGUGGCGCUUUUAUCAAAUGCGCAGAGUGCGGAAGUGAACGUCAUGUGGCCGCUAUGCACUUUGGCCCUGCUCCAAUAGAGUCAAAGGAUCUGAUAUCUUAUAAGGAGCAAAAAGAUUCCAAAGAAAAGAGCUCUUCUAAGGUUCAUGGCGGGGAGCCAGUUACCACACCCAAUGAUGAACAAAACCUAGCGGCUAAACCACUGUGUACACAAGUUUGUGGUAAAUACUUCAGAGGAAAGUCGUGCUCGAAGAUAUGUCUGGUUAAUGUUUAUCCUGAAGGUCAUCCAGAGAAGAGUAAAAGGAUGUACGUGAUCUUAGAUGAUCAGAGUAACGUCUCAUUGGCCAAGACAGAAUUCUUUGACGCCUUCCGAAUACAAGGACCACGAAUUCCAUACAUCCUGACUACAUGUGCUGGAGUGGUCAAGGUGACCGGUAGAAGAGCUCAUGGUUUCAUGGUUGAGCCACUCACAGGAGAGCUAAGUAUCGCCCUUCCAACUCUAAUAGAGUGUAAUAAUGUCCCAAACAGCCGAGCAGAAAUCCCAACCCCAGAAGCAGCGUACCGCCACAGCCACAUGCGAGCUAUGGUUGACCAAAUACCUGCUCUCGAUGACGCUGCAGACAUCUUGCUCCUAUUAGGGAGGGACAUUCUUCAGGUCCACAAGGUUCGUCGGCAGUUUAAUGGCCCAGACAACGCUCCAUUUGCCCAGAAGCACGAUCUCGGCUGGGUCAUUGUCGGUGAUGUCUGCCUGGGUGGAGCCCACACCCCUACAGAAGUAAACACAUUUAAAACAUGUAUUAUGGACAAUGGCCGU